GGGGACGUACAGUAAUGUCAUGAACUGGUGUUGAAUUCCUUGAUUAUGUUAAUAUCGCCUAGGGAUAGGGGUAGGACGAUCAAUUGUAUUUUGCUUCCGUUUCUCAUGCAUUAUUAAUUGCAAGGGAAGGCUAGGGAUAGCAAGCCGGUAAUUCGUAAUAGGCUCUUUUCACCAAGGGAUUGGGUUAAGGGUAGACUAAGAAAGUUUGCAUGACAAUAUGAUAAAUAAGCUAAUUAAAUAAGAAGAGUAGAUAUAUGAGGGUGGAUAAGAUGAAAUUGUAAACCCUAACAACUCCAUUCAUCCAUAGUUUCUUAAAGCCAAUUGAAUCAUUGCAUUUCCAUGUUUACUUUUGUUCUUUGCAUACAAACACCAAUCUAAUUCUUUUCUCAAGUCUUACACGAUUAGUUUACAUGAAAAGUAAGGCCUAAGAGUCCUUUGGGAAAACGAUACUUGGACUUAUCCAUUUAUAUUACUUGAUAACGAUCUGGUACACUUGUCAGGGACUUAACACUCUCUCUAUCUUUUCCUCCUC
rnacentral:lncRNA from 1 species